GACCACUUGCCAUGACAAGACAGAAAUGUGGAUAUAGAGGAGCUCUGUGGCUGCACAACAGAAAUAUAAAUUAAUUACACAAGAUGAAAAUCGGGUUUGAUCUCAUUUGAACAGAAAGCCCCAAAGUCAUUCAUAUUUGCUCUUGAUCAGUCAGCCAAAGUUAAUGUUAGUCUCCCUUUUAAAGGUUUGUUUCUCAAAUAGUUAGAUUCAGUGUUUUAAGUAUAUGGUUUUGCUAAACGUGCAAAUGGAUAUUAGAAACAAAUUAAAGUCUGGAUUCUGAAGUCCUCAGUCUCCAAGCAAAUGUCACAGCUGGAAGUCAUGACGAUACCAUAGCCCCUUUUCCAUUCUUCGAGUCCUUUAUCAGAAGGAAAAAAAAUACCAAAGAUCAGCCCAGCAUCCACCUCGUGUAUUCACGUGGGGGCUUUGGCAAGGUGCAGGGGUAUGGAUGGCACUGCUAUAUCAGCUUGAAGCCCAUCAUGUGAAGAUCAAGAGCUAAAUGUAUAUACCACAAUCUAAACAUACUACAAACUGUUUCUACAUGGGCUGCUCCAACAAAAGUAUUCUGAAAACUGUCAAGUCAAGUAAUUCCUGAAUAUUCUAUUUAAUGAAGCUUAGUCAAUAUUUUCUACAACGGAUGUUUACAGUACUUUGAGCUUCCUGAACUUGAGGCAUUUUUUGUCCAUCAUGAAGUUAAACUCUCACAAAAACAAAGCAAAGAAACAAAUAGAAUAAACCACUACAACAACAAGAAAACAAACAAACAAACAAAAAAAGAAACACAACUAAAUGAAAAUGAAGCCGUCAAUAAGAAAGAAGAUCAGAUUUAUUUUCCUGUUUGUUUUAACACACCAGACGGUCCCAGGACUGUCCUUAACCAGAAGAAAAUCAAUUGCCCUCCUUGAUCUGCCUCUCUACACGUCUCCUGUCUGAUUUUUGCAAUGUGAUAAAGUUAGACAUUCUAACCCUUUAUUCACCUUUUGGUGUGGAACAGAAGGAGGAAAUGCACCUGGCCUGGACCCGGUCUCUUCAUGUUCAUGGCCUUGGACUGGUAGAGGGCAUUACAAACCAUGGAGCUGCCCCUGCUUGGUGCUAAUGUCUAACCAGCCCAGGCCCUGUAGUGGCCAGUGUCUCAGAGGCAGUUUAAUUCUCUACUUUGGAUCAAACACCAUAAGUAAAAGUGAAAAAAGAAAAAAAAAAAAGUGAAAAUAUGUGAUGUUCGUUUUGAAAAUGCAGUAUACUGUAAAGUUUUCUGCAGUUGACAUUUCCCCAUAGUACAGGUGGAGAAUGUGAAUGUUAAAAUAUGUAUAUUUUCCAUGGAUCACUAGGCCUGUGUAAAAAACAAAAUCAAUAAGCUUGCCUACAAUAGAAAAGGUUUCAGGUUUGAUUUCUUUUCUUGCACUCCUCUGGCACUGCUGUGGAAGGCAGUAUGCACCUAGCAGUGUGAGCUAACAGGUAACAGAUGAAAUCUCAGAUUUCUUUUAGGGAAGUCUUUCAAAAUUUUACUUCAGAUUAUAAAGAAGAUUCCUCACUGUGAAUACCGAGUAUCAUAAGGAGUACAGCAGAAAAUAUUUUAAUACUUAUUUCUAGUCUGUGAGUAAAAUUACUCUUCUCAAUUAUAUUUCUAGUCAUGUCCAUGGUUCUCUUCUCCUCGUUUCACCUAAUAUUUGUGUUUGUGUCAGAGGAAAAAAGAAGAAAUGUAUGAGUUAAUACAGUCUAAAGGAAAGUAAACUUUUCAGUGUUAGAGAAAAAGAGAGAAAAUAUUUUAGUAAGUCCUAAAGCAACCACUUCUUCUGUUGGUUAGGUGAGUAAACUACCUGUAGAAAUUAUUUAUAAAUUUAGAAUGUUACACCACCUGCAGCUUUUGCUUUCUGCUUCUAGCUGCUCCAGGAUCAAUCAACAUUUAAUGUCUUAUAAGACAAUCAAGAUAGCACUAUGGAAAGUUCUCUUUUUUUUCAUUAGAUCAUAGGAUUUCAUGUGAGUUACAUCUAAUUUCUAACUUUUGAAUUUCAGCGGUUGUCUAUUAAUCAUGUGUAUAUGUAGACAAACUGAGAGAAUAAUUUAAGAGCUAUUGUUGUCACUGUUGAGGGAAGAGAAGACUUCUUUGCCACUGUCUGAGUUGGCUAUCUGUCAUGUAGUAUUUUACUUAUGGAUAUUAAAAGUUUAAUUGGCUCUGUCAGUGUACCUCAUUAUAUAUUGAUGGAUGAAGCAAGUCCUGUCUUUUGUAAGGAGAAAAGGUUAUAAAAUACAUAUUUUUGUGUUCAAAACUAUGAUAAUGUGUGCAUAUUAAAAUUUAUUUUAUAUUACAUUCAUCUUUGCUUUACAAAUGCAUACUUAUUUGCUCUAAAAUAUAUCUUUCUCUCAGAUCUGAAGAGAUCUAAGUUGAGUUCCUAAUUAUUUAAAACAGAAUGGUUUUCUGAGCUUCAGUUGUAACUGUGUCAACAAAUUGAUUUAUGCCCUUCUGGUCAAUAAACUAUAAUAGAAACUA